AUAUUUUUCAAAGUGUUUAUUUCUGCUCACGCAUUCAAUUAUUGAACGACAAAGCUGUCAAGUCCGAUAUGUUUUUCAAAGUGUUUAUUUCUGCUCACGCAUUCAAUUAUUGAACGACAAAGCUGUCAAGUCCGAUAUGUUUUUCAAAGUGUUUAUUUCUGCUCACGCAUUCAAUUAUUGAACGACAAAGCUGUCAAGUCCGAUAUGUUUUUCAAAGUGUUUAUUUCUGCUCACGCAUUCAAUUAUUGAACGACAAAGCUGUCAAGUCCGAUAUGUUUUUCAAAGUGUUUAUUUCUGCUCACGCAUUCAAUUAUUGAAUGACAAAACUGUCAAGUCUUAUAUAUUUGUCAAAGUGUUUAUUUAUGAUCACUAUUCAAGUAUUCAAAUAAGCAUUCUUUACUGAAUUUCCAGUUUAAUAUACAGCGACAAAGCUGUCAAGUCCGAUAUGUUUUUCAAAGUGUUUAUUUCUGCUCACGCAUUCAAUUAUUGAACGACAAAGCUGUCAAGUCCGAUAUAUUUUUCAAAGUGUUUAUUUCUGCUCACGCAUUCAAUUAUUGAACGACAAAGCUGUCAAGUCCGAUAUGUUUUUCAAAGUGUUUAUUUCUGCUCACGCAUUCAAUUAUUGAACGACAAAGCUGUCAAGUCCGAUAUGUUUUUCAAAGUGUUUAUUUCUGCUCACGCAUUCAAUUAUUGAACGACAAAGCUGUCAAGUCCGAUAUGUUUUUCAAAGUGUUUAUUUCUGCUCACGCAUUCAAUUAUUGAACGACAAAGCUGUCAAGUCCGAUAUAUUUUUCAAAGUGUUUAUUUCUGCUCACGCAUUCAAUUAUUGAAGUAAGUAUUCUUUACUGAAUUUCCCGUUUAAUCAAACAGGUAAUCAAAACAAGCCCGAUAUGGGACUCGAACCCAUGGCCCUCAGAUUAAAAGUCUGAUGCUCUACCAACUGAGCUAACCGGGCAGCUAAUGCUUUCGUUGGGAAAUUAACCAAUCAAUAUUUUUUAUCCUAAAAAUAAUUUUUGAUUC